CAAGCAACAAGGCCAAUGCCAGUAACAUGAAGCCUAUCCCGGCCAGUACACCGGCCAGCAACGGCUCAGGGACAAACUCCAGGAGCCGUGACGUAGCUGCAUAGCUCUCCAUACCUGUGAAAACAGAGGUACCUUUUGUGUUGCCAUGCCAUGCCAUGCCUGUACACAGCUAUUUGGUCAUGCCUUGCCUGCUCAUGUUUUUUGCCAGAGAUUAAACCACCCCUCUUCUGCGGAGCGGGAUUGGAGGACAAAGCCUGUGAUGGGAGGCUGCUGAGCCUCAGGAAGGGACCACUGCAGAAUAACACCUGCUGAGCUCUGAUUAGCAGACAGCGACACGGG